rnacentral:rRNA from 1 species
UACGAAGGGUGCAAGCGUUGCUCGGAAUUAUUGGGCGUAAAGGGUAGGUAGGUGGUAAUAAAAGUCUGGGGUGAAAUCCCUGAGCUCAACUCAGGACGUGCCUUGGAAACUUUAUUACUAGAGUGCUGGAGAGGUCCGCAGAAUUCCCGGUGUAGCGGUGAAAUUCGUAGAUAUCGGGAGGAACACCGGUGGCGAAGGCGGCGACCUGGGUAGAUACUGACGCUGAGGUGCGAAAGCGUGGGGAGCAAACAGG